AUUGAACGCUGGCGGCAUGCCUUACACAUGCAAGUCGAACGGCAGCACGGGAGCAAUCCUGGUGGCGAGUGGCGAACGGGUGAGUAAUAUAUCGGAACGUGCCCAGUCGUGGGGGAUAACGCAGCGAAAGCUGUGCUAAUACCGCAUACGAUCUCUGGAUGAAAGCGGGGGACUCGCAAGAGCCUCGCGCGAUUGGAGCGGCCGAUAUCAGAUUAGCUAGUUGGUGGGGUAAAGGCCCACCAAGGCGACGAUCUGUAGCUGGUCUGAGAGGACGACCAGCCACACUGGAACUGAGACACGGUCCAGACUCCUACGGGAGGCAGCAGUGGGGAAUUUUGGACAAUGGGCGCAAGCCUGAUCCAGCAAUGCCGCGUGCAGGAUGAAGGCCUUCGGGUUGUAAACUGCUUUUGUACGGAACGAAACGGUCUACCCUAAUACGGUGGGCUAAUGACGGUACCGUAAGAAUAAGCACCGGCUAACUACGUGC
rnacentral:rRNA from 1 species